UACGGAGGGUGCAAGCGUUGCUCGGAAUCACUGGGCGUAAAGCGCGUGUAGGCGGUCUCGUGUGUCUGGCGUGAAAGCCCCAGGCUCACCCUGGGAAGUGCGUCGGAAACUGCGAGACUAGAGUCCCGGAGAGGAAGGUGGAAUUCCAGGUGUAGCGGUGAAAUGCGUAGAUAUCUGGAAGAACACCGAUGGCGAAGGCAGUUUUCUGGUUCAAAACUGACGCUGAUGUACGAAAGCUAGGGGAGCGAACGGG
rnacentral:rRNA from 1 species